GCGGGUAUAGUUCAGUGGUAGAACGUCACCUUCCCAAGGUGAAUGUCAGGGGUUCGAAUCCCCUUACCCGCU
rnacentral:tRNA from 2 species